rnacentral:rRNA from 1 species
CUACGCUCUAGUGAAUCAUCGAAUCUUUGAACGCACCUUGCACCUUGGGAGUCUAUCCCAAGGUAUACCUGUUUGAGUAUCAUUUACAACUAUCCAAGGAAUUGGGUUUUGAGGAGUCGCGGCUUCCGAGCCUCGUCCCUUUGAAUGUAGCAGGCUGGGGACGGAAGAGCGGUUGCUAGUCUUCUUCUGAGGUGAUUUGCCUUUUGGCAAUGAUUUCAGGAGGCCUAUGGGCUUGCAGCACAGCGCCGUCUUUUAACAGACCUGGUGGAGCAGUCCACUGAGUGUGGUUGAAGCUUUCGGGCUUUGAUUGCCGAACAAUUGUGAUCUCAAAUCAGGCAAGACUACCCGCCGAACUUAAGCAUAUCAAUAAGCGGAGG